rnacentral:tRNA from 1 species
AGCCCUUGUAGCUCAUUGGUAGAGCAUUCCCUUGGUAAGGGAAAGGUGGCGAGUUCAAUUCUCGUCAAGGGCUU